rnacentral:lncRNA from 1 species
GAGUUCACAGUGGGGAGUCGGGACAAGAUGAUGCUCCGGAGGAGGGAGUGGCAACGGGCGGGGAUCACUGCUGGGAACCCCCCCCCCCCCACCCGUCGCUGUCACAGUCCAGAGUCACGAGUCAGAUGGGACUUUUUUUAUAAAGAUAUGGGUGCCAGUGAGACUGGAGAGCCAAGGCUACACUCUACAGAAAGUCUGAGCGCCGCCUCAUUGAUCAGGAAAUGAAUUACACUGAAAUACAAAGAACUGUGUGGAAGUCCAGGGUAAUAAAUAGCAGUUAUUAAUGGAUAUUUUGCCUAUUGUAAAGAGGAAUUCUUUAUUCCUUUUUUAAUUUAAUAGGGGACCUCUUACCAUAGAGAUGUGGAGGGAUAAACCAGCCCAUAGUGACAGGAAGGAGAAACCAGAGAGACAGGAAGAAGAAACCAUAGUGACAGGAAGUAAGGUAGAAAAAGGAUAUAAAAGGCUGUCAGUUGCUGACAGGUAGGGCUGGCCGUGGAGGGGAUGUUGGCUGCUGGGCACGAGUUGGUCACUGGGGAUUGGCUGCUGCUGGUCAAUGGACAGAAGUUCUGUUUUUCUAUUUUUAACCAAAUAAGGAAAAGGAUCAUUUACAAAAGGAAAAGCAUUUGCUCCAAGGGUGUUUUUGGCACCUAUCCCACUCUCCAGUACUUCAAAAUGCCUGUAGCCGUACCUCAGCAAUUUCUGACAAUCGGGGGAGAACCUAGUUUAGAAAUCAGAGCUCCACUCCAUUCCAACUCGGGCAACGUAUUACCUGGAUUCUCAUUCUCAUUCAAGGCACAUUUACCCAGAGCUUCACUAUCUAAUAACAUUUUUGCAUGAAGCUUCAUAGAAUAUAGAAUUAAAAUAUGUAAUCCUUGUUAAUCGUCUAAGCUGCCUUUAUUAAGUGCUGGGAGAUGUAGUAGCCCAGGAAUUGGAUGAUGUUCAGUAUCUAUCAAAGAAUGAAUAGAUUGUGCCGUCCCAGCAUUACUUUCCCAUUCUAAUACUUUACUUUUGGCUGAUGACUCCCCCUUCUCUUUGUCAUGAAUCAUCUGUUUUGGGGUUCAAGCUGUUGCUCUGCAUUAUAACACAGAAUUACACAUUUGUAAACUGAGAACGUUUGCUUACUGACACUUAAUAUAGAAUUGUAAUAUUUCUGUGAAUACUUUUUCCUUUAGUCCCUUCAAGGUCAGUCUGGUUCUAAACUCAGGGUACACCCAGCUUCUCCCUAAGGGUACGAAAGUGCGUUGGAAUACUUUGUCUUUGUAAAGGGUAAAAGGAUUAAGGAACGGACUGGCCAGCCUUGGUCCAUUUGAAAGAUUAAGAGGGCCCAAGGAGUCAUUUUGAACUCUCUUAAGCGUCAAGGUCCAGCCAUAUAGGAAAAGGUGCUGGCCUGUUUUGGUCUUGGC